rnacentral:rRNA from 1 species
GAUGAACGCUGGCGGCGUGCUUAACACAUGCAAGUCGAACGGAAAGGCCCAAGCUUGCUUGGGUACUCGAGUGGCGAACGGGUGAGUAACACGUGGGUGAUCUGCCCUGCACUUCGGGAUAAGCCUGGGAAACUGGGUCUAAUACCGGAUAGGACCACAUUUUGGAUGGUGUGGUGGAAAGUUUUUCGGUGUGGGAUGAGCUCGCGGCCUAUCAGCUUGUUGGUGGGGUAAAGGCCUACCAAGGCGUCGACGGGUAGCCGGCCUGUGAGGGUGUACGGCCACAUUGGGACUGAGAUACGGCCCAGACUCCUACGGGGGGCAGCAGGGGGGAAUAUUGCACAAUGGGCGCAAGCCUGAUGCAGCGACGCCGCGUGGGGGAUGACGGCCUUCGGGUUGUAAACUCCUUUCGCUAGGGACGAAGCGUUAUGUGACGGUACCUGGAGAAGAAGCACCGGCUAACUACGUG